AUAUAUGCAAUCACUUUAGAUAUUUUUAGAAUCCUAUUUUUAGGAUUUUUAGGAUUUUUUUGGAAGAUUUUUACCUCAUUUUUUGAAAAUAUUUACAAGAAUUUUCUCGCCAAAUUUGGGGGAUUUUUUUCUUGAAAAUGUGGGCAUCAGAAGUUUCACUGUGAAAAUCUUUUUUUUUUCUCCACAUUUUCAAACUUUAAAACGGGUCAGUUUGACCCGCAGGAGACACGAGGGUUAAAUGAAACUUUUAAGGUAAACUUUUAAGGAAUUAUUGGAAUUUUCUUCCUGAAAGUUUUGCGUAUUUUCUGAAAUUUGGGGAAUUUUUUUGCUGAUUUUUUUCAGAAAAGGAAACAUGUGUCCGUGUGUGUGUGUGUGUGUGCGUGCGUGCGUGCGUGCGUGCGUGCGUGCGUGCGUGCGUGCGUGUGUGUGUUUAUGCGACUCAUUCCAUAUCAUUUGAACAGAAACUUCAGUUCGUGUUCGUUCGUUUGCAGCGUUUAUCCGAGAAGAGAAUAGAAAAAUCUGAGCCAUAUUCAAUGCAAUAUGAAUAGAUGACAUCUCUUUUGCAUUUCUCUAUUAAUCGUUUACAUUACAUUAAUGUUUGAACAUAGUCGACCAUUUAGCACCGAGGAGUAUUGAAUGUGCAAUUUUACUUCAGUGCUGGUUGGGUUUAUGAUUGUCUUGGGUUUUUUUUUCUUUUGCGUGCAUGUAUGUCAGUGCUUUGAGGUUUCUUUUGGUAUAACCUGUUGUAAACUAAAUUCAUAUUUACGGUAGGAAAUGCUUCCCAAGUAUUUGCAGGGACUAAAAGAGGAGCCAUCGUAGAAGUCGGGCUGCAAAAACACAGCAUCAGUGUUACUUGUUUCUUCUUUUUCUGUCAAAAUUUAGCGAUUUUCAUCAUUUAAUCCUUUACGAACCGACACUUGAAUCGAAAGAAAGCAUGUACAAUAUCUCUUUGAGUCAAUUAUACAAACAAAAGUUUGAAUUCUAUAUUGUGAAAGUAAAAUAAACUUAGACUUUGACUACAAACUCAGGAAGAAUUUCAUAUAUAGUCAAAUUAAUGUUUUAAAUUCUCCCCGUUUAAGCGAGUAGUUUCUGUUCUGAACUUGAAGACUUUAGGAAACAUUAAAACUUUGUGAUUGCAGACUGCCUUACUUUCAUGGACUCCAUAGACUCACCCACAGUUGGACCAGUGGGUGACGCUACCGUUUGUCACCCACUGGUUCUAUUGUGGGCAAAUGUGACCAAUCAGGGCUGGAUCUGACUGAGAACUCAGAGACUCUAUUCACAGUGAUAGAACAGCGACCAACAGUAACUCUAUCGUCUUUUUUUCACUAAAUGGGACCAGAAUUUACUGAAUGAACAUCAUGGAGUCUUCAGAAAGACUUCAGACUCGCAGUUUAGAGCGUAAACUCAUGAAGAAAAUGUUUAGUGAGGGAACAAAGAAGUGAGAAAAAAGGUCGUUUUCUCAUAGACUUCUGUACAAUCUGACUUCUUUUGACAACCAGAGGAGUCGCCCCCUGCUGGCUGUUAGAAAGAAUGCAGCUUUAAGGUGGCGGGACUGGGGCCGGGUCGUGGAUUCAGCAUCCCAAGAGACAAACAGUCAUUAGCUCACACUGAAACACAACUCAGUAGGAAAAUACCGGCAAAAAUGUAAAACUGUAAGUCUGUCUUAAGCUUGGGAGCCGUAAUGAAGCUAGCGAAUGUAGCAUAAUCCAACGUGGCAGCAAACGUAAACAAAGCCGUCUGAUAGCGCCGCGUGACGACGUAUUCAUGUGCUCCACUCGCCAAAAGUUUCACAUAACCAGUUCUGAGGUAACGAUGAAAUGCCAUAAAUUGAGGACGUCGUAAACCGAGGACCUCCUGUACAAGAUCUAAUGUUUCUUGAUCCAUUUAGGCGUUCUUUUUUUUAAAACCCUGCUCUAUUUUUUCUACCGUAGAGGCUAAUCCAAUGCUUGAAGCCCCUGAAAUGUUUCACCAGGACUUAAAUAACUCAUGCGCCGACAAACUUCAUCGCAUGUGAUGAAGACAGCCCGAGACAUUAGCUUGUGUUUCAAUAAUCUCUGCAUUUAUUGCUCCACAGCAGUCAUAAUCCAACAUUCUUCAUCUCAAACAAACAAUUCACCACCACCGUUCACAACUGUUCUACCUUCCAGGCGGAAACACCUGCCCAGACAAAGAUUGGUUCUUACUUAUAACGUAGCACUCAUUGGCUCCUACAUCUACAUUGAGGUGUGCUGUUAUGUUAGCGCCACCUAGCACAGGAAACAACCUCUAACUGCAGCAGAAUCAGUAUUAUCGCUAAAAUUGUCGUUUCCAUUUCAUAUUUAAGGUUGGUCAUGAGUUUGGUACAUGCUGAUAACGAACAUGUUUUCUCACUCUACUUAGCUGUAUGGAAAAUGACGCUUAAGACAGAAAGGUUGAUCAAACCUGUAGGCGAGGUGUUAAUGCUCUCAUUUAUGGGGAUUGAAUUAAAAUAUACCUAAAAGACAUACAGUUGUUUAAACAUUUUCUGCCUGAUAUAAAGUAAAAUAACAUGUUGACUGAUAAAAAGUGAAGUAAUGAUGGUCCUAAACUAAACAUUUUAAUCCUAAACAGUCUUUUGAUUAAAAAAAUAUGGAAAAUUGUCCUAAUUUCAUGAAUAAACAGACAUUUUUAGCCUUUAUAGCAGCUUUACCAGUAAAGUAUUUGUGUUUUAUGAUGGAGACUUCUGCGAUGGCUGCUACCGUCCACUGUCCGACACCUAGACCUUCCUCUGGGCAUUAUAAAAUAGACAAAAUGUGUAUAAAUGAACUCCUGAACUGUCUGUGAAUGGUGACGACAUUUUCUAUGAAGUGUGCUAAUAAGCUAACCCGUUCUGAACGACAAACUCACGCUUCUGAUCUUUCUAUUGAGUAGAAACACGACUUUGUAUUAAAUUGUCUCUCAUCAGCGGUGGUUAUGCAUGGCAUUUUCUUACCUCCUUGCGAUUAUUUUCUAGUAACGGCAUAAAAAAUGGCAUUAUUGUUGUUUAAACUAUUAAUUCUUAUAGUUUUAAAUGAUUUCUAUCUGAGUUUCUUCAAAGGUUGGGCAUGUCUUGGGUGUGUUUUGUUCCUUUUGCUUUUGUAUUUCUUUUUCUGCUGAUGAUGAUGGGAUUACUUGAAGUUGUUUUAUUUUAUUCAUUUGUUAAAAGAAGAUGUGAUGCUGUAGUUUUUGUGUCUGACCUUGUUUCUUAUUUCACUGAUUGCUGCUGCUUAUUGCCGUCACUAAGCUGCUUCUUCGUUGAUCUAGGCUGGAAAGUAGCUGAAGUCUUUUAAAUUUAAACAUUCAGAAGCAAAGGAGCUCAGAAGAGGCCUUACUGUUCAGGAUUACAAAAUUUUUAUUCUUUUUUUUAAAGAGAAUAAACAUCAGCAGACUGACUCCGAGCCACAGAUUUAUUAAAGUUAGAUUAGUUUAGUAAAUGUAAAGUUCAUCAAUGCAGAACAGAAUAAUUCAUCAAAAAGGACCAUAUAUUAUAUACUGGUACUAUAUUCAUAAACAUUAUCUCAAUAUGCUAACAGCCAUGCUAACAGCUCUGUGAGACUGUAACUGGUUAGAGCUAAAUGCAAGCUAUAGCAUAGCAUGCUAACCUUCUCACAGUAUUAAUAAAUGUUGAUGUUUAGCAAACAUGUUCACCAUCUUUGCCUAGCAUGCUAACUGCUCAGUUAAGCUGAGCAGUUAACUGCUAACAUGCUAGCUACAAUAAUGCUAACAUGUUGAUGUAUAGCAAAUAGAAGGUCAGAAUCUUUGUUUAGCAUGCUAACAUGCUGAUGUUUAGCCAAUGUGUUUGCAGUCUUUGCUUUGCCCAGUAACCUGCUCAAAAUGACAAUGCUAACAUGAUGAUGUUAAGCAGACAUGUUUGCUAACAUUGCUUAGCAUGCUAACAUGCUGGCAUUGCUUAGCAUACAAACAUGCUUGCAACAACAAUGCAAAUAUUUAAUGUUAAGCAAACAUGUUGACCGUCUUUGCUUAGCUUGUUAACAUGCUAAUAUUAAGCAGAUAUAAUGCUUACCAUCUUUGUUUAGCAUGCUAACAUGCUCACAACAACAAUGCUAACAUGUUGAUGUAAAGCAGACAUGUUUGCUAACGAUGUUUAGCAUGUUAGCAUGCUUGUAGCAACAUUGCUAAUAUUUUGAUGUUUAGCAAGUAUUUUUACCGUCUUUGUUUAGCAUGCUAACAUUCAUGCUCAAAGAAUGUUAAUAUUUACCAGAUACACACACACACACACACACACACACACACACACACACACACACACACACACACACACGCAGGUAGUCAUCAAAUGUUUCACUCAACAUCCCGAAUAUUAACUUCCUAAAAGAGGUACAUCCUCUGAUGAUUAUGAACGUCUGCUCUGAAUGACAUCUAACAGCUGUUAAGAUGUUUCGGUCUGAGCGGUGAACUGAUAAUAGAAUAAAAUAAUACUUUAUUGAUAAUUUACAGACUUGUAACAGCAGCAUGUCGACACGUCGAUGACCCACAAAACCGACAGAACAAGAAUAGUCAUCAGUACGAGCACAUACACGGUAUAUAAGGUAGAAAAAAUAUGAUAAAAGUUAAAACAUAUGUCGGGAAAAUUGUUAACUUCUCUAAAUUAAAACUCAGAGUCGUCUCUCAAAUCAAAGUAAACAGACCCCAGUCUGAUAAAAGUGACUGAUAAAAGCCUUUAUACAGGCACAUUAGCAGGAGGGACACAUCUUGGUGUGAUAUCUCUAGUUUGAGUUAUAAACCACACAGUUAAAUAGUAUUACAAUGAAUAAGAACAUUUAAUCAUAAAACAUAAUCAUUUACAUAACAGCACAGCAUAGAACACAUAAAUUAAAAUAUAAAAGCCUGAUUGGUGGACGGGCGCUAAGCUGUUAGCAUGGCUAAAGCAUACAGACACAGUUUAACCCUCCUGUUGUCCUCAUCUAACAGCACCAAAAAAAUAUUUUCUUGUCCGAAAAAAUCCAAAAAUUCAGCAAAAAAAUUCCCCAAAUUUCUGAAAAUUUGCAAAACCUUGAAAAUUUGCAAAACUUUCAGGAAGAAAUUUCCAAUAAUUCCUUAAAAGUUUUAUUUUUAAAAAAUAAUCCCUCAAAUUUGGCAAGAAAAUUCUUGUAAAUAUUUUCAAAAAAUGAUAAAAAUCUUCCCAAAAAAAUCCUAAAAAUAUCUAAAGUGAUUCCAUAUAUAUCAGUAAAACUUCUAAUAUUUUCUUUAAGAACAUUCAUUUUUUUUGUGUGAAUGUUCUUAAGAAGGGCUGCACAGUGGCGUAGUGGUUAGCACUUUCGCCUUGCAGCAAGAAGGUCCCUGGUUCGCGUCCCGGCUUUCCCGGGAUCUUUCUGCAUGGAGUUUGCAUGUUCUCCCUGUGCAUGCGUGGGUUCUCUCCGGGUACUCCGGCUUCCUCCCACAGUCCAAAAAUAUGCUGAGGUUAAUUGAUCAUUCUAAAUUGCCCGUAGGUGUGAAUGUGAGAGUGCUUGUUUGUCUAUAUAUGUAGCCCUGCGACAGACUGGCGACCUGUCCAGGGUGUCCCCUGCCUUCACCUGAGUCAGCUGGGAUAGGCUCCAGCCCCCCCCGCGACCCUAGUGAGGAUUAAGCGGUGUAUAGAUAAUGGAUGGAUGGAUGUUCUUAAGAAACAUUUUUGACAUUUUUUUUCCACCAAAAAUGUUCAAAAAUUUACCAAAAAUGUUAAAAAUGUGGACAUCAGAAGUUUCACUGUGAAAAUAUUUUUUUUCCCCACAUUUUCAAAGUUGAAAACGGGUCGAUUUUGACCCGCAGGACGACACGAGGGUUAAAUAGAAGCAUUAAAAACAUCAAACCAGAACAUGUUCAGUCAUAAUAUUUUUUAUUCCAGCCAUCACCAGGAAGUUCUACUAAGAAUAUACAGACACAUGAUUAUCCUCAGCACCAGACGGGUGGAGUUAAACCAUCAUCUGGACUCUUUUCAGUCUUUCUGGCACCUUUUGUGGGUUUGAAGAUUAUAUUUACCCGAGUGGAUCUUUCUGAAGCUCUGUGUAAACGUCUCACAGCCGGUGAGUAACAUGAAGAAAUACACGAAUAAAUAUGUAAUAUUGAUAGAUUAAACUUGUCUUUUAAGUCACUGUGUAAUCCAAAUGGAAAGAUACAGUCAAGACAUGUUUGGAUUUAAAGGGUUAAAAGUGAUGUUUGUUUUUAGGAUGAUUGUUUUCAGGUUUGGAAAGACGCCUUAAAUGUGUACACUGGAUUCUCAUCAGACAACUUUUAGUAAUUACAGAGUAUUAAAUUCAUGUCUGUAAAUUAAUAUUGACUGUUACUUCAGAGCGUGUAGAGCUAUAUGUGUGUUUGUUCUAAUAACCCAACUUGCUACUCGGAAGCCUUUACUGCCAUUAGAAACAGUUUUUAUUCCUCCAUACCUGCCUAUAUACGAUGAUAUUUUCUGUGAAAAGUGAGUCAGAAGCUUCAUGUUCAGUAAUUCUGUGCAUUCAGAUGCAAAGGAGCUCAAAAGGCCUUACUGUUCAGGAUUACAACAUUUUUAUUCUUUUUUAAAAGAGAAUAAACAUCAGCAGACUGACUCCAAGUCGCAGAUGUAGUAAAAUUAGAUUAAUUUAGUAAAUUUAGAGUUCAUAUGCCAACAUAAAUAUGCUAACAGCCAUGCUAACAGCUCUGUGAGACUGUAACUGGUUAGAGCUAAAUGCAAGCUAUAGCAUAGCAUGCUAACCUCCUCACAGUAUUAAUGCUAACAUGUUGAUGUUUAACAAAUAUGCUUACCAUCUUUGCUUAGCAUGCUAACAUGCUCACAGCAUAAAUGCUAACAUGUUGAUGGGUCACAGAUAUAAGGUCUUUGUUUAGCAUGCUAACAUGCUCACAACAACAAUGCUAACAUGUUGAUGUGUAGCAAAUAGAAAGUUAGAAUCUUUGUAUAGCAUGCUAACAUGCUGACACUUAGCCAGCGUGUUUGCAAUCUUUGCCCAGUAGCCUGCUCAAAAUGACAAUGCUAACAUGAUGAUGGGUCACAGAUAUAAGGUCUUUGUUUAGCAUGCUAACAUGCUGACGUUUAGCCAACAUGUUUGCAGUCUUUGCUUUGCUCCAUAACCUGCUCAAAAUGACAAUGCUAACAUGAUGAUGUUAAGCAGACAUGUUUGCUAACAUUGCUUAGCCUGCUAACAUGAUAGUAAUAACAAUGCUAAUAUUUUGAUGUUAAGCAAAUAUUUUUAUCAUCUUUGCUUAGCUUGUUAACAUGUUAAUAUUAAGCAUAUAUAAUGCUUACCAUUGUUUCUUAGCAUGCUAACAUGCUUGUAACAGCAAUGCUAAUAUUGUGAUAGUAAGCAAAUAUUUUUAGCAUCAUUGCUUAACUUGCUAACAUGUUCAAGUGAAGUCAAGUUUGCUUUAUUUUCUCCCAUGGGAGAAAUUUCUUAGACAAGGUAAAAUGACAAAUUUCUAAAAAUUUUUAAUAUUAAGCAGAUAUAAUGCUUACCAUCUUUGCUUCGCAUGCUAACAUGCUCACAACAACAGUACUAACAUGUUGAUGUGUAGCAAAUAUAAGGUUAGAAUCUUUGUUUAGCAUGCUAACAUGCUGAUGUUUAGCCCACAUGUUUGCAAUCUUUGCUUUGCCCAGUAACCUGCUCAAAAUGACAAUGCUAACAUGUUGAUGUUAAGCAGACACAUUUGCUAAUGUUGCUUAGCCUGCUAACGUGAUUGUAACAACAAUGCUAAUAUUUUGAUGUUAAGCAAAUAUGUUGACCAUCUUUGCUUAGCUUGUAGACAUGCUCACAACAACAAUGCUAACAUGUUGAUGUGUAGCCAAUAUAAGGUUAGAAUCUUUGCUUAGCAUGCUAACAUGCUAACAUUUUUUCAAGUGAGUCAGGACCUUCAUAUUUAGGCUGAUUGCUGCUGUAGUGAAACAUGUUUCUGCUGGCUGUUAGCCCUCUGACCUACAUUACUGUGUAAAGAGAAAAAACAAACUGUGACGUAGAGAUUUGUCAGAUGUCUGUGAAGUCAAACAGUCGCUGAGUCACAUCUGGGAGUUUCCUGAAGCAGCAAACGGCUCCACUGAGUCGCUGUUUGGAGUUUUACCGUCUGUCUUUCUCAACCGACAGAAUAUUUUUUUAACAUUUCUUUCUUCACCUGUAAAUUAAGUUCAGAGUUGCCGUUAAAACAUUCGUAACCUUUGAAAAGGUUCCGAUUAGCUGCUAAAUGGACGCUGUGGUGAGAUGUUUAAAUAGUCAGAGGGAACUUUCAGAGUUUAUCAGACAAACACAGCUGGAAAUUCCAAACUUCAGUGUAAAUAACAAGUCAGCUGACAACAAAUGACACAAAAGAGACACAAAACAACAAAAAUGAAACAAAACGACAAAAACAAGGCAAAAAAUGACAAAAAUUAGACAAAAAUGACAAAAAAACAGACACAAAACAACAAAAAUGAGACAAAAUGUGAAAAAUGAGACAAAGAAUACCAAAAACAAGAAAAAAAAUGUAAAAUUAGCAAAAAAAUUUAAAAAAAGAGACACAAAACAACAAAAACAAGACACAAAGCAAUAAAAGCUAGACAGAAAACAACAAAAACGACAUACAACAUGACAAAAAUGAGACAAAAAUGCUAAAAUUAGACAAAAAAAUGACAGAACGACAAACAACAAAAAUGAGACACAAAAUGCCAAAAAUUACACAAAAAAUUACAAAAAAGAGAUGCAAAACAACAAAAAUGAGACAAAAAAAUCCAAAAAAUUUGACAAAAAAUGACAAAAAUUAGACAAAAAAUGACAAAAAGACAGAAAACGAGAAACAAUACAACAAAAAUGAGACAAAAAAAUGACAAGAAAGACACAACAUAAAAGAGACAAAACAACAAAAACGAGACACAAAGCAACAAAAAUGAGACACAAAAUGACAAAAAUUAGACAAAAAUGCCAAAAAUUUGACCAAAAAAUGACAAUGAGACAAAAAAUGCAAAAACAAGACAAAAAAUUUGACAAAAAAUGUCAGAAGCGUCAGAAAACAACAAAAACGAGACACAAAAUGACAAAAACAAGACAAACAGCCUUGAUAAAUCCACUUUAUUUGUACCUGUAAAAAGAUGCAUUAUUUUCUAGCAGCCCUUCAUUGUGUCGAUCAUUUUAAACUUUUUUUUGACCCUAUUUGUGUCAUUUGAGCAGCUUUGAGAGGCCUGAAGGGUUCAAACAUUCAGUAAAUCACUAGAAACAGAGUCAUCCAUCAUCUGUGGGACCCGCUGACAUUAACGGCCAAAUCACAUCCUGAAAGUCAAACGUUGGCUCUGUUUUAACAUCAGAGUGUUUGCGAGGCUUUGGGUUUAACGUACCGAUGAAUACUGAGUCCAAAUCAUUUACUGGUCUGUGUCACAUUACUGGUUUAUGAGUCACUCUACAGACGUCUCAUCACAUCUAAAGGUGAUUUCUGUGGGAAACAAGUCCAGAUCUGUUGGAAACAACGAAGACGCUGUGGAUUUUAUUCCAGAACGUUCUUCAGUCACCUCAGUUUUAAAUGCCAGUGAAGUUUCAAACUUCCUCCUGAUUAUUUUCUUUUUUUCUUCCUCUUUUCUGGCAGCCCUCAGCUGGUAAACAGGGUGAAUUUAUCACAUCAGUCAAAACGAAACCUGCUUUCAUUUUUCUGUUUUUUUCUAGAAGUGUUUCUGUGACGUUUUAAAAAAUCCCUACUGUUUACUUUUUGUUUUCCAGACAUAAAAAACAAAAACCGGUAUAUAAAUCUGAGAGAUGGUAAAGCACGUCAGAUUGUAUAUUUGUUUAAAAAUUUAAGACACAAAACAACAAAAAAAUGAGACAAAAGAUGCCAAAAACAAGGCAAAAAAUGCCAAAUAUUUUUUAAAAAAUAACAAAAAAGAGGCACAGAACAACAAAAAUGAGACACAAAACAAGAAAAACAAGACAGAAAACGACAAAAAUUUAACAAAAAAUGCCAAAAACGACAGAAAAUUACAAAAAAGAGACACAUAACAAAGCAACAAAAACAAGACAGAAAAUGCCAAAAAAUAGACAAAAAAAUGACAAAAAAGAGACACAAACUGACAAAAGAGACACAAACAAAAAGGAGACACAAAACAAAACGACAAAAACGAGACACAAAAUGACAAAAACAAGAUUAAAAAUGACAAAAAAGAGACACAAUUUUUAGAAUAAAUAAGUUGGAACCUUCUUUUUUUUGGUUGCUUUGUCACUUUCUAUCUCUUUCACUUUCAGUGUGAAAUCUCAGCUGGUUUGUGUUGUUCAGAGAAAUGUCACAUGAUGAGAAGGUUUGGUGGUUACCUGUGAUUACCAGUUUUGUACACAAACGUACGUCAGCGGUUUCAUCAUCAGCGUCUGACGUCAUGACGCACAGCUGCUGAUAUAGAACCCGGAACCAGAUGAGUGGAGCGCAGUAACCGGCAGGACCUGAGGGAGCUGCGGAGGAUAUUUAUCUUCAUUUACUGUCUUUUUGGCCAUUUCAACCUGAACCAGGAUGGCGAACGGACACGUGGAAAUCCACGACCUGUUGUCCGCCCACCACAGCCCCUCCAGCUGCUCAGACCCUGAAUCCACCUCAGACAGCGACAGAAUGGACGACACGGUGGAGUUCAGGAUCAUGAUGGCGUUCGCCAAGAGGAGACGACCUCAACAGCAGCAGCAGCAGGAUUCAAAUCCAGACGACGGACCAGUGAAGGAUAGCAGAGAUGCUAACGGAACGACGACUCCAUCCCAGACACCAGAGAAGACUGAGGGGAAGAAGAAGAGGAAGAAGAAGGGAUGGAAACGUCUGUCGAGCAUUUUGAGAUGUGUCAAACCUCAGACUGAAGACCCAGAACCACAGCCAACGCCUCGACCCAACGGAAACUUCAGGAGUUUGGAUCCUAGAACCAAUGAGCGACUGGUAGUGGACUCACACGAACCCGAUGAGGUUAAAGAUGACGAUCAUUUGGCCGAGGCAGUGAGCAGACUGACGGAGAUCGCUGAAGAAAUCCCGUUCACUCCUCCAGAAUGGGAGACGGACUCCAGAGACGGUGAGGUGGAGAAGAUUAUCGGUCUGAUUCUGAGGGAAAGUGGAGACAGACUGAAUGAGAAGGAGCUGAAGAACGCCAACAUCGCAGCAGAACUCUUCUGGAACUACAGCUUCUUUAGGGAGCUAAUAAAUAGACUGCUCAUGAGGAUGGGCCUCAGGAGCCCCGACCCCGACGCUCUGGGGCCUCAAGCAUCACCCAAAACCCAGAUCGCUGUGACCUGUGAGGUCACCAGUCGUCUCUCUGAGGUGAACUCUCUGCCCAGGAACCUCCUGAUGCGCCACGGAGCCCGAUACCUGCAGGACUACUACUCCACCUGGGCUCAGCAGCAGGGCGGAUACGAGGCAGCCUUUGAGGGAGACGAGGAUGAAGUGGAGUGAACCGGACCAGGUCUUCCAGCUCCACAGCGCCUCCUGCAGGCCGUCACAGAAGCAGCAUUAGGAGUCCUACAGAGUGUGGAGAACACAGAACAGGAGCUUUGUGUUUUCAUUCAGACAGAUCAGUUUACACAGAACACGUCUGCAGCCGUGAGCUUUAAAACAAACAAUCAUGUGCUGUCAGGGGCCACGAGACGAUGAAUAAAUUAUUUUUGUACCGUUAUAACCUCUGUGAUUAAGGUUGUCUUGACUUUUUGAAAUCAUCAUUAUUUGCUUUGUAGUUAGAAAGAAGAAAAGUAUAGCUCAGCACUUGCACUUUUAAGAUCACGGAAAAUAGAUGUAAAAUAGAAGUGGUGUUGUUUGUGUUGUUUCUAAGGGACCACUGUGUGUACUGUUGUUGUUGUUUAGACAUAAAUGUAAAUGAAAACACAGAUUUUUAGUCUGUGGAUUGUUUGUGUGAACAUUUUUAGCACAAUACAUCCUGUCAGUUUUCAUAUGAAGUGCAGAAAUGUGUCUAAAAACUGCCUAAAUGCUACUUUUUUGUGUUUUUUCUGUUAUAGUUUAAUGAUUGAGCUCAGAUGAAAACGGCACCACCCUGUGGCCAAAUGUGGAACUGAUUCAAACAACCCCAAUUCAAAUUAGAUUAAUUAAUAAAUGUUGUUUACUUUAUGGAUAUAUUGACAUGUUUUACUCUUGUGAUAAGUUGUUGUAUUUAUUUUAAUAAAUUCAGCAUAAAGUGAACAAAUCCAAGGAUUGGAAAUUUGGAAACGACAAAAACUAGACACAAAAUGACAGAACUGAUACACAAUGACAAAACCGAGACACAAAACGACAAAACUGAGACACAAAAUGACAUAAACGAGACAGAACGACAAAACCGAAACAAAAUGACAAAAACGAGACUCAAACUGACAAAAACGAGACAAAAAUGACAAAAGACUCAAAGUGACAAAAAUGAGACACAAAACCGAGACACAAAAUGACAAAAACAAGACAGGAAAUGACAUUUUAGUGAUAUCCAGUCAUUUUUAUUAAUAAGUGAUUGUUUCCAUAAUAAAUAAUUAUGUAAUUUGUAAAGACAUGAUCAUAAUGAACAUAACAUUUUUGCUUUUAAUAAAAAUGUAGGCAGAUAUAUCCUAAAGUCCUUCAGUUAUAUAUUGACCCACCAGGUGGCACAAAGAUAAAGUUUUUAUUAGUAAUGUUCUUUAAAUAAAGUAUAAAAGGUGGAA
ensembl:lncRNA